AACGAACGCUGGCGGCAUGCCUAACACAUGCAAGUCGAACGAAGCCUUCGGGCUUAGUGGCGCACGGGUGCGUAACGCGUGGGAAUCUGCCCUUGGGUUCGGAAUAACAGUUAGAAAUGACUGCUAAUACCGGAUGAUGACUUCGGUCCAAAGAUUUAUCGCCGAGGGAUGAGCCCGCGUAAGAUUAGGUAGUUGGUGGGGUAAAGGCCUACCAAGCCGACGAUCUUUAGCUGGUCUGAGAGGAUGAUCAGCCACACUGGGACUGAGACACGGCCCAGACUCCUACGGGAGGCAGCAGUGGGGAAUAUUGGACAAUGGGCGAAAGCCUGAUCCAGCAAUGCCGCGUGAGUGAUGAAGGCCUUAGGGUUGUAAAGCUCUUUUACCAGGGAUGAUAAUGACAGUACCUGGAGAAUAAGCUCCGGCUAACUCCGUGCCAGCAGCCGCCGUAA
rnacentral:rRNA from 1 species